CCCGACGCAGGGCGGGGUAUAUAGUAGAUGGGGAGAGUUUUCCGGAAUAUUAUGGGGUGAAACGCGCGCGCAGGGGGUUUUUAAUGUGAUAUGAAAGGCCCCCGGUCACACCGGGAGGGCUCUUUGAAACUGGGAGAGGUUUAGUGUAGGAGAGAGGAGUGGAAAUUCACAUGUAGAGGGGGAAAAGUGUAGAGAGAUGGAGGGACACCCCGGGGGAAAGGGAGUCUUUGGCUUCUAAAUGUCACUGUGGCGCGAAAGCGUGGGGAGCGAACACGGUUUGAUAUCCCGGGAUUGUACGCCCUAAAAGAGGAGUGGUAGAUGUUGGAGGGUUUUCGCCCUUUAGUGUCGGAAGUUAACCCUUUAACACUUCCCCUUGGGGAGUCGGUCCCAAAGGUUAAAAUUAAAAGGAAUUGCGGGGGGCCCCCCCAAGGGGUGGGCCAUUGGGUUUAUUUGAAGCAAACGGAAAAACCUUUACAAAUUUUGACAUUCCCUUGACCGGUACAGAGAUGUACUUUUCCCUUCGGGGGCAGGGGUGACAGUUGGUGCAUGGUGUUGUUCAGCUCGUGUCGUGAGAUGUUGGGUUAAGUCCCGCAACGAGCGCAACCCUUGUCUUUAGUUGCCACCAUUCAGUUGGGCACUCUAAGGAGACUGCCGGUGACAAACCGGAGGAAGGUGGGGAUGACGUCAAAUCAUCAUGCCCCUUAUGAGUUGGGCUACACACGUGCUACAAUGACGGUACAAAGGGCAGCGAAGCCGCGAGGUGGAGCCAAUCCCAGAAAGCCGUUCUCAGUUCGGAUUGCAGGCUGCAACUCGCCUGCAGGAAGUCGGAAUCGUUAGUAAUCGCAGGUCAGCAUACUGCGGUGAAUACGUUCCGGGUCUUUGUACACACCGCCCGUCACAGCCCGAGAGUUUGUAACACCCGAAGUCGGUGAGGUAACCUAUGGAGCCAGCCGCCGAAGGUGACAGAAUGU
rnacentral:rRNA from 1 species